rnacentral:rRNA from 1 species
CCUACGGGUGGCUGCAGUGAGGAAUAUUGGUCAAUGGACGAGAGUCUGAACCAGCCACGUAGCGUGAAGGAUGACUGCCCUAUGGGUUGUAAACUUCUUUUAUAUGGGAAUAAAACGUUCCACGUGUGGGAUUUUGUAUGUACCAUAUGAAUAAGGAUCGGCUAACUCCGUGCCAGCAGCCGCGGUAAUACGGAGGAGCCGAGCGUUAUCCGGAUUUAUUGGGUUUAAAGGGAGCGUAGGUGGAUUGUUAAGUCAGUUGUGAAAGUUUGCGGCUCAACCGUAAAAUUGCAGUUGAAACUGGCAGUCUUGAGUACAGUAGAGGUGGGCGGAAUUCGUGGUGUAGCGGUGAAAUGCUUAGAUAUCACGAAGAACUCCGAUUGCGAAGGCAGUUCACUGGACUGCAACUGACACUGAGGCUCGAAAGUGUGGGUAUCAAACAGGAUUAGAUACCCCAGUAGUC